CAGCAAAUGAAGGGCACAAAGAAAAGAAGAAGCAUCACAAUUCAUUUUUUCGCCGGCAGUAGAGUAGGAGGGAGUGACGGCGCCUUUGAGUUUUUGGAGCAAGAAGGAGUGACGAUUUCAAAAAGUUUUGUCAUCUUCAUUUCGUAAUCGGUAUUGGUAUAAUUGUUAUCCUUUUUAUUGUCAUCAUUAUUAUGUGUAGUUAGUUUUUAUUGUCAAUAUUGGGUGAAUCUAUGGAACAAUUAAUCGAUUAGGAAUAUUUUUGUGUGGUUUUGAGGGUAUGUUAUGAAAAUAUUUUCUAGUAAAACAUCUAUUUAUAUUCA